GAUCAUGGCUCAGGAUGAACGCUAGCGACAGGCUUAACACAUGCAAGUCGAGGGGCAACAUGAUUUUAGCUUGCUAAAUUGAUGGCGACCGGCGCACGGGUGAGUAACGCGUAUGUAACUUGCCUACCAGAGGGGAUAGCCCGGCGAAAGUCGGAUUAAUACCGCAUAAAACAGGGGUUCCGCAUGGAAAUAUUUGUUAAAGGAUUACCGCUGGUAGAUAGGCAUGCGUUCCAUUAGAUAGUUGGUGAGGUAACGGCUCACCAAGUCGACGAUGGAUAGGGGUUCUGAGAGGAAGGUCCCCCACAUUGGUACUGAGACACGGACCAAACUCCUACGGGAGGCAGCAGUGAGGAAUAUUGGUCAAUGGGCGAGAGCCUGAACCAGCCAAGUCGCGUGAAGGAUGAAGGAUCUAUGGUUUGUAAACUUCUUUUAUACGGGAAUAAAGUGUGGUACGUGUACCAUUUUGUAUGUACCGUAUGAAUAAGCAUCGGCUAACUCCGUG
rnacentral:rRNA from 1 species